rnacentral:rRNA from 1 species
AUUGAACGCUGGCGGCAUGCCUUACACAUGCAAGUCGAACGGUAACAGGUCUUCGGAUGCUGACGAGUGGCGAACGGGUGAGUAAGGCAUCGGAACGUACCCUCUUGUUGGGAAUAGCCGCGGGAAACUGCGAGUAAUGCCCAAUAAUCCCUACGGGGCAAAGGUCCGCCGCAGGAGGAGCGGCCGAUGUGAUACCAGCUAGUUGGUGAGGUAAUGGCUCACCAAGGCUUAGACGUCUAGGGGGUGUGAGAGCAUGGCCCCCACCACUGGGACUGAGAUACUGCCCAGACACCUACGGGUGGCUGCAGUCGAGAAUCUUCGGCAAUGGGCGCAAGCCUGACCGAGCAACGCCGCGUGCGGGAUGAAGGCCCUUGGGUUGUAAACCGCUGUCAGGGGGGAUGAAAGCGCAAGCUUGACAGAGCCCCAGAGGAAGCACGGGCUAAGUUCGUG